GUGUAAGAGGCUAACAAGCUGAGUAUUUCCCUCUAGUAGUUUGAAGGGAUAUCAGAUCUGCUCUGAAUAAUUGAAAGUACAGUUUUUACUACAUUGUGUAGUGUCCUUGGAAAGUAAGAUUCUCCCUGCUAGGUGAACUGCUCAUCACUGCUCACAUCACUGCAAAUACCUCUCACUGUCACCCUUUCGGCGCUCAGCUGGUAUAGAGUCUGUCUAAUUAAGAGUCAGUUGGGAUUAACCCUGGAGGAGAAUAAGAAUAAACUCAGCAUGAAAGUUGUAGGCUUGCCUGCUAUGGACCAUUCUUCAGUUACUUCCUUCAAUUCUUCAGACACACGGAAAGAGACGGAGGGAGCUGUGAGCAAUAAAGCCUGUCGGGAGAAACAUGUUCAUCCCUGCAGUGCUUCUGGAUCACGUCACUGUCUGGGCCCCACCUUGGGCUCCCCAUCGCUGCUCACACCGCCGAUUUGUAACGUAAAAUGCGUUUGGAGGAAACCGGAGGAAGUACAGUAUGAUCAACUGCUGAGUGCUAGAGAAACUGCCAAGGGAAAAAGAGAGAGGAUUCAUGCAGGGGAGGUGAAUUUAGGAUCAUUGCGUGGAACUGUAUCUUAGGCCCCCUAGGUUGAGAAAGGAGCCCCUUUCCGAUUCUCAGGCACGUUUUAUGCUAUGUAUAAUAAUCCGCGAUGUAUAAUAAUACACGAUUUCCCCCAAAACAAGAUCUAAGCGGUGCUGCUUCUCUGGGCUCCACCCAGUCCUACAAGCAAUGAUGCUGAUAUCAGCUGCCUCACUGACCUGGCCUCCAAGCGCUCCCUCACCCCAUUCGCUGCUUGCUCUGCUGCAGGGCAGUCUUGCCACUAUUCUCACAGCUGAGAACACACCACUUCCCUCCAUCCACAGGGGUCCUCUCCCCUCAACUUCUCCUGACCCUCUAAUCAAAAAUGACGCCACCCCUCUGGUGGCUUUCUAUCCUUAUCUGAGCUUUCUUUUCCUGCACCAGGCAUUUCACCACCUCCCAGGGUACAUGUCCACUCCUCUGUUCGUUCCUGCUGCUCUAGUAUAUAAGCUCCAUGGAGACUGGGGCUUUGCUUUGGUCUCUCCUGUUACACUCAGCACCUGGGAUGGUGCCCCGUGUACAGUAGGCGCUCAGUAAAUACUCACGGAAUGGAUAAAUAAGCAAACUUGUAAGACUAAUGGCGGGCUACCUGUGUGUAUGUGGAUGAUAAGAAAGUUGGCUUGGUUAGAUGGAAGUAUCAAAUGAUGUUUGGCCAUAAAUUAAAAUUUAAUACAUCAGACAAUGAGCGAUUCCACAGAAGCCGUCACCUGGGAUGCCUGAGUAGCAAUCGAGGCAGGUGAUGAAGGAUUCAGGAGGAAAAGGAGGCAGAUUGGGUCUGAGCUACUUCCCCAAGAAAGAGUUAGUUAAGAAGAGCCUCUAGAAGGACAGGGCCUCAGUCACGGAUGCUAUGAAUCAUCCCAUAACUGACUGAUGUCCACUCCAUGGAGAGCGGAACAGCACAGCCUUUUUUUUCUGACCCACACAGUGACUUAAUAUUAGUACCUGAACGUGUGGUGGCAGGUACCUCACCGCAUGCAGAAACUAACCACCAGCUGCCACUCAGGACCAUUUACGAAACUGAGCUGGAGUUUUGCAUUAGCACUUGAGCUGACAUUUGAAUACUGACCUUUUUUUUUUCUUUCUUAAGAAUGAAAGACCAUUUAUCACUUUAGGACCACACCAUCUGCCUGACCCCUCUAAACUCUUUUGAUGGUUGUCCCUGUAAAGAAUUCCACCCACCAACACACGGCUGAAAGGUGGAGCUGAAGCAGAUGUUAUCAUCGGCCAACUCUGGCUUCAGCAGAGCACCUGAUACUUAGUAGGUGCCCAAUCUAUGUUUGGGGAAUUAAAUGGAAGUGAGCCAUCUCUGCAAGUGGUGACACUGGUGCUACCUGGUGUGUGGCCUAUCCAGGCACAUGGAAUUGAGGAGCUGAGUUCUUCUUUCCCAAUGGACGCUGGUCCAGAGCAAACUCUUGAUGCACACACACUCUUCUCUGUUUGGGAAAGCUGCCCUCACCUUUCCCCUUUAUAAAAAUCCCAAUCCCUGUCUCUUUCGGUCUCUCUGUCUCUGUCUCUGUCUCUCUGGCUCCCUCCCCCAUUCCUAAACCCCAACAGCAGCACCUGUACCUGAUUUUCAGGCUUCAUAGAGAGACCCCAGAGCAGCCUCCCCACGACUGAUGCUCCUGGAGAGACUCAGCAGACUUUCCAAAGGAGAAGAGCUAUAAUUUCCAUCCAAGUAAUUCUGACUCUCAGGCCCUCACUACAGCUUGUUCCAAAAGAGAGCAGAGAGAAGGCAGCUCCCUGGAGCUGCUAUAAUUGUAGAGCCUGAUGAAAGAUAAGACAGAGGAAGGAGAGCGCAGCAGGGAACCAUGGGGCUUCCUGAACCUCACCCGCUCAGAAGGGGCUUCUCCAAAAAAAAGAAAAUUGGCAACAUCCACGUUGAAAAGGGCAACGCUUACGUUCAGUUGGUGGUAAAUGGCAAGUGAUACUUGCAGUCUUGUUUUUAUUUUCCUGAAGCUCUAGGGCCUGUUGUAUCAGGCUAGAGGGCAGCUGAACUGUCCUUGAGGGUCUAAAAAUGAGAUGUAAUCAAGCUUGUAAUUUAAAACAAUAAAAAGGGAGUUCCUGUCGUGGCUCAGCGGUAAUGAACCCGAGUAGCAUCCAUGAGGAUUCAGGUUCCAUCCCUGGCCUCAAUCAGUGAGUCAGGGAUCCAGCGUUGCCCUGAGCUGUGUUUAGGUCGCAGAUGCGGCUUGAAUCCUGCGUUGCUGUGGCUGUGGUGUAGACUGGCAGAUACAGCUCCAAUUAGACCCCUAUCCUAGGAACCUCCAUAUGCCACCAGUGCAGUCCUUAAAAAAAAAAAAAAAAA
rnacentral:lncRNA from 1 species